rnacentral:rRNA from 1 species
AGGUUCUAACGUUGGCCCCUGACCGGGGUUGCGGACAGUGUCUGGUGGGUAGUUUGACUGGGGCGGUCUCCUCCCAAAGCGUAACGGAGGAGCACGAAGGUUAGCUAAUCCUGGUCGGACAUCAGGAGGUUAGUGCAAUGGCAUAAGCUAGCUUGACUGCGAGCGUGACGGCGCGAGCAGGUGCGAAAGCAGGUCAUAGUGAUCCGGUGGUUCUGUAUGGAAGGGCCAUCGCUCAACGGAUAAAAGGUACUCC